rnacentral:lncRNA from 1 species
AUGGGGGGAGGGUUAAUGGAUUAUGAUUUUUCUCUUUUUUUUUUUAAAUAUUGGUUGGCAAAGGCUGAUGUCCAUGAGUCAUGCGCAGAGACUAGGGAAAACAAAGUCUCUUUUUCUCAGUCCAAGGAUUUGCCAGUUCCUGUAUGCCAAUGGGGUUUGUGCUCUGGCUCACUGUCGGUGCCUUCAGGGAAGCUGAUGCUCUGAGCAGGUUAUGUGCUAGCUCGGAAGACCUCUAUUGCAAGGCAGGAGCGUAAUGAGAAGGGGAGCAGCGAAGGUAAGCAUGGUCCCUGUUUGCUGCUCUCCUGAGGUGUGUCUGCCUCGGAGGGAAGCGGUGCUGAAUCAGUGCCCCAGACUGCUGGUGACUCAGGUGGCAAAAAGCACACGUUGUUUUCUUCCACGCCUGAAACAUUGCGGUGGAUUUCCUGUAAUGGGGUUUUGCCUCCUGUAGGGAACAGUUUGUCAUCCUUUUCCUCUCCUAUGGACAAAGAGCAGCUGGGUUCUCAGGGAGCACAGGCAGGCGUUGGCUGGAGCCCUUCUCGUCCUGGCAUCCUUUUCUGAGUGCCCAGCCUGCUAGAGGAGAGGGGUCUUGGGAGGCUCGGUACUUCUGAGCGGGAGAAUUGUGUUUUCAGGGAGCUCCUGUGGCUUCUUCAAAGGGGAGUUUUGUUCUUUGCUGCUCAGUCACAGACGUGCUGGGGUGUGUGCAUGUGUGAAGGAUCUGAAAUGCUGGCUAAACAGAUGGAAACUUGAUUUACCCCAGUGCCCUCAACUGUACCCCUCCCUCAGUCUCACCUCUCUCUUUUUUUCCUUUUUUUUUUUUUUUCUUCCAAGAUGGGGCAAGUUAACGUAGCUGCAGAUGCUAUCUGUUGAGCUUGAUGAGAUUCUCAUGCAAAUCUGGAGGCUGUGCUCUCCUGUCAGGUCUGCUUGCCUGUAUAAUCCCCUAUUUUACUGCAAAGGGGUCUAUUUUUUACUGCAAUUGGGUUUAUUUUUAGCCAAGGCUUUCCCUGUCUAAUGGGCAAAAGUUCAGUGUUUGCAGUGAGAUUUGCAGAAGAAGCAAUUUCACCAAAUACACGGGAUGGGGGAAGGGAGGGAGAGGGGGAGAGAGGAAAUGUAUUAGCUAGCAAAAAAGCUAAAUGCUGAUUUGGAAACACG